CUGGAAGAGUGCGCAUAGAAGCUAUUACGUUUGGCGUAUUCGCCGAAGAGUGGAGACCGGGUUCACUGUGGUACCUAUGUCAAAAAACAUUCCACCGAGUCAACCUGGACACUGAGAUACUUGCACU
rnacentral:lncRNA from 1 species